rnacentral:rRNA from 1 species
GAAUUCACUAGUGAUUCAGGCCUAACACAUGCAAGUCGAACGGUAACAGGUCUUCGGAUGCUGACGAGUGGCGAACGGGUGAGUAAUAUAUCGGAACGUGCCCAGUAGUGGGGGAUAGCCCGGCGAAAGCCGGAUUAAUACCGCAUACGACCUAAGGGUGAAAGGGGGGGAUCGCAAGACCUCUCGCUAUUGGAGCGGCCGAUAUCAGAUUAGGUAGUUGGUGGGGUAAAGGCCUACCAAGCCUGCGAUCUGUAGUUGGUCUGAGAGGACGACCAGCCACACUGGGACUGAGACACGGCCCAGACUCCUACGGGAGGCAGCAGUGGGGAAUUUUGGACAAUGGGCGCAAGCCUGAUCCAGCAAUGCCGCGUGCAGGAAGAAGGCCUUCGGGUUGUAAACUGCUUUUGUCAGGGAAGAAAUCCUCUGGGCUAAUAUCCUGGGGGGAUGAC